rnacentral:rRNA from 1 species
AAUAUUGCACAAUGGAGGGAACUCUGAUGCAGCAACGCCGCUUGAGUGAAGAAGGUUUUCGGAUCGUAAAACUCUGUCAUUGGGGAAGAAUAAAUGACGGUACCCAAUGAGGAAGCCCCGGCUAACCACGUGCCAGCAGCCGCGGUAAUACGUAGGGGGCAAGCGUUGUCCGGAAUUAUUGGGCGUAAAGGGUGCGUAGGCGGCCUUUUAAGUCAGAUGUGAAAGCCCGCGGCUUAACUGCGGGAUUGCAUUUGAAACUGGGAGGCUUGAGUAUCGGAGAGGGUAGUGGAAUUCCCAGUGUAGUGGUGAAAUGCGUAGAUAUUGGGAGGAACACCAGUGGCGAAGGCGACUGCCUGGACGAAAACUGACGCUGAGGCACGAAAGCUAGGGGAGCAAAC